CCAGGCGCCGCCGCGCGCCCCUCCUGGAGGAGGAGGAGGAGGAGGAGGAAGGAGGCGGGAGGAGGAGUUGCGGGAGAGGAGGGACGAGCGCGGCAGUCGCGCCGGCGCUGGGCGAGGAAGCGGAGCGGGCCGCCGCCGGGGCAUCACACUUGGAGACUAUGUUUGGGGAGCGGUGGCUGUGCCGUUGUCCUUGGGAGCAGACUGUUGAGUAGUAGAGAAGAAAGAAGGAAGAAAAGACGGAAUAUCUCUGAAGGCCUGGGAGACAAACCGUUACCCUGAAGACGUCACUAUGCCAUCCUGAAAUUUUCCCACAGAAAAUGGCUCCAAAGGGUAUAUGAAGCUGGAAAAGUACAUAGAUGCAUCAUUGCAGCCUCUCCAGAUGUUUGAGGAUAAUAUUCCGGAGAGAAAUUGAUCCCCUUGGAUUAGGUAACUAGUCAUAAUGAAGAAAAUUAGUCUUAAAACCUUCCGAAAAUCUUUCAACUUGAAUAAAAGUAAAGAAGAAACGGAUUUCAUGGUAGUGCAGCAACCGUCACUGGCCAGUGAUUUCGGAAAAGAUGACUCCUUGUUUGGUAGCUGCUACGGUAAAGACAUGGCCAGCUGCGACCUCCACAGCGAAGAGGAAAAGGGUGGGAAGAGUCGAUCGAAGAGCGAAAGCCUGAUGGGUACGUUAAAACGACGCCUGUCUGCGAAACAGAAGCAGAAAGGCAAGGGCAGCGCGCCCUCCGGGAGCUCGGCUGACGAGGACACCUUCUCCUCCUCCUCGGCACCCCUGGUCUUCAAAGACGUGAGAGCCCAGAGGCCCAUCAGGUCCACUUCGCUCCGCAACCAUCACUACAGCCCUACGCCGUGGCCUCUGCGACCCACGAACUCGGAGGAGACGUGCAUCAAGAUGGAGGUGAGGGUCAAAGCCUUGGUUCACUCUUCCAGCCCGAGCCCAGCCCUGAACGGGGUUCGGAAGGAUUUUCACGACCUCCAGUCUGAGACUGCGUGCCAGGAGCAGAGUAGUUCACUCAAGAGUUCAGAGUCUCACAAUGGAGACUUGCAUCUUCACCUUGAUGAACAUGUGCCUGUAGUUAUCGGACUUAUGCCUCAGGACUACAUUCAGUAUACUGUGCCUUUAGACGAGGGGAUGUACCCUCUGGAAGGGUCGCGUAGCUAUUGUCUGGACAGCUCUUCUCCCAUGGAAGUCUCUGCGGUCCCUCCGCAAGUGGGAGGGAGCUCCUUCGCCGAAGACGAGAAUCAGGUAGACCAGGACCUAGUGGUGGCCCCAGAGAUCUUUGUGGAUCAGGCGGUGAACGGCUUGUUGAUUGGCACCACGGGAGUCAUGUUGCAGAGCCCGAGAGCGAGUCACGACGAUGCCCCCCCACUCUCACCGUUGCUACCUCCAAUGCAGACCAAUCAGAUCCAAAGGAACUUCGGUGGGCUCACCGGCACAGAUGCCCACGUGGCGGAAAGUAUGCGCUGUCAUUUGAAUUUUGAUCCUAACUCUGCCCCUGGGGUUGCAAGAGUUUACGACUCGGUGCAGAGUAGUGGUCCCAUGGUUGUGACGAGCCUUACAGAGGAGCUGAAAAAACUGGCGAAACAAGGAUGGUACUGGGGACCAAUCACACGCUGGGAGGCAGAAGGGAAGCUAGCAAAUGUGCCAGAUGGUUCUUUUCUCGUUCGGGAUAGUUCUGAUGACCGUUACCUUUUAAGCUUGAGCUUUCGCUCCCAUGGCAAAACACUUCACACGAGAAUUGAACACUCAAACGGUAGAUUUAGCUUUUAUGAACAACCGGAUGUGGAAGGACAUACGUCUAUAGUUGAUCUCAUCGAGCAUUCAAUCAGGGACUCUGAAAAUGGAGCUUUUUGUUAUUCAAGGUCUCGGUUGCCUGGAUCUGCAACUUACCCGGUCAGACUGACCAAUCCAGUGUCACGGUUCAUGCAGAAAUAGCCUGCCUCCAGUGGCCCACCGUCUUGGGACAAACUUACCAUCACAAAUUGACCAUCAUGACAGCUGAUGCUACCCAUCCAGGAUGGAAGAAUGGGUCUGCACACUUCGUUACACUGUCCUCGAAAGCAGAAAGGCUGAGCAUCUAAGAAUUAUAUCAGCAUUCCAGGACAGGAAGAAAGACAAAGAAGAAAGGAUAAAUGGCUGUAUCAGGACUUUGGAGCAUCCCCAGAAAUCCCAGUAAAGGAGACCUGCAUUACAGAUGAUCUUCCCAAGCAAGAUGCUCCAAAGGAGGUAACGGGUUCUGUGCCAUUCUGGGCAAGCUGCUGCUAACUUCACCCUUUCCUCUCUUAAAACCAAUACAAAGAAGAGUAGAAUUAUAAGGGAAAACAAAUAUAGGUACCAUAUUUGUUUUUUAAGAAUUGUCACAACUGAUUGUAACUCACCAUGUAGAUGAUGGUAGUUGAGUAUUAUCAGAAAAUUGAAGUCCACAAUGGACUUUGUCCACAUCUGUUUAUUGAAAGUUUACUACAGUAUGGGAGUUAGCUACUAUUACAUUCCUUCUGCUGGAGACUCACAGGGAUUUAAAAGGACAGUGGGUUUAACGGAGAAAAAGGAGGAAGUGUGAAGACAAGUCUUUGAUUGGUCACUUUCAAAGUGAUCAUUUGGGAGGGACUUUACGUGGGAUUUUUGAAAGUGCCACGGAGGUGGUGGGUAUAAGUAGGAGGCAGGGGGCUUCCUGAUUGACUUUCAGAUUCAUUUUGUCAUCUUUGAUUGGUUCACUAUCCCCAGGCACGUAACUGGGUCCUUCCCAGAAUUGGUAGGCUCAUAGGGGUUUUCCUGGUCCACUGAAAGAAUAUCUAGUUCCCUACUUGGGGUUCCAAGUCUACGAGAAGACAGUUCUGGAUAAUUGUUGCAUUAAACUCUGAGGUCCUUUUUCAACAUAGACCAGUGCCUGGUAUAUAGUAAGGAGUCAAUGUAUGUGGAAUAUAUACCAAAUAUUUUAUAAGAGGGAUUUUUCCCAACAUUUUACUGUAAAAACUUUCAAAUGUAAAAGUUAAAAGGAUCGUACAGUGAACAUCCGUAUUCCCACUACCUAGGUUCUAUAAUUAAAAUAUUACUAGUAUAUUUUCUUUAUCAAAUAUCUAUCCAUGUAUUCACCUCGCAAGAGGAAUUCUCAUAUGACACAUUUGAUUAAGCUAAUAAGAAAAUAGUUUAUUGUCUUACUGCUUUCAUGGGCAGAGAUCUAGUCCAAGGGCAUAAUGAGUGAUAUUCCAGAGAUGUCUUAAUUGCCCUUAUAAACCACUAUUGUUUGCCAAAUAUGGGUGGGACUCGGAUCUUCUAUGAGGCUGUUAAUGUUCAAGGACUUCAGUCAGUUAAGGUGUGGAUAUGCUAAAGGUUUAUUAGUUGAUAGUAUUGUAGAGCCAGGAUUUGCCUUCACCUGUAAAAACAUAUAUUAAAUUGGUAGGUAGAAAUGCCAAUUAAAAAAAAAAAACAAUACUAGAGAGUUUAAGCUUAAUGGGGCUACUACAAUCAAUUUGUCAUACGAUUUUUAUUUUAAAGAUUCAUGGAAGUCAGCUUCGUACACAAAUGAAAGUUAAUUCUGUAGGUUAAAUGAGGUAGGCGAAAGUUGAAUAUGCCUGCUGCAUCGAAGUCUAUUAAGAGGCUAGUCAUCAAAAUAUAUUUGCUUGUUUUUUCUCUAUUCUGUUUUUUUUUCCCUUGAGAGUUAAUCUGUGUAUGCAUUAUGACUCUUUAGUGCAAGAUAUUUGUGUACUCUGGAAAGUCCGCAUAUGGCCUCUGACCACAUUUUUGGAGGGAGUGGUGAGUUGUGGACGCCCCGGGGAGCCAGAGUAGCCUUUUCAUAUAGAGUCAGAUGCCUUGAGUUUGGGUCUGGCUCUGCCCUUCAUAUUUGGGGCCUCACUUUUGUAAUUAUAAAAGCGACUUAAUACAAAUGGUAUUUACUUUACAUGGCUGUGAUAAAGACUAAAUGAGAUACUGCAUGUAAAAUGCCUGGCUCAUAGUGACAAUCAGUAAAUACUGGUCGUCGUCUGUUAAAAUGUGGCAAAAGCAAUGUACUUGGGAGGAAAAUUAAAAUACGCAUGUACUGGUAUAGAAUUCUUUUUUUAAUUAUUAGUUUUUAAUUUUUAUUUUAGAGAGAGAGAAUGAGAGUUGGGGAGAGGGACAGAGGGGUGAGAGAGAGAGAGAGAGAGAGAGAGAGAGAGAGAGAGAGAAUCUUAAGCAGGCUCCAUGCUCAGCAUGGAGCCCAAUGUGGGGCUUGAUUUCAUGAACCCUGGGAUCAUGACCUGAGCUGAAAUCAAGAGUCAGAUGCUCAACUGACUGAGCCACCCAGGUGCCCUAGAAUUCUUGUUUUGAGCUGGAAGUGACCUCAAAUAUCCUCUACCUCAACCCCUCAUUUUACAAAUAAGAAAGCUGAAAUCCAGAGACAUUAAAUAAUUCCCCCCAAAUAACAGUUGAAGGUAUUCUGGAAUAGGAUGAAAACCAGGCUUUUAAAUUUCCCUAGUAAAGCUCUUUCCACCACACCAGGCAAUCCUGAAUUGAGGAUACUGAAAGAGGCCUGCUAUAGUAAUAAAGCACCAGCCUUGGAGACACUCACAUCUGAAUCCAGCUCUCAUUAUGUGGCGUGGGUGAAUUAUACCUUGGUUUUCUCUCUGUAAGUGGCUUUUGUAAUCCUGCCAGAUGGGGCUAUUCAGAGAUUAAAUGAGAUGAUAGGAAUGAAACACAUUGCACAAUGCUUUGACAUAUAGUAAAUUCCCCAUCUGUUCCGAUUGUUUUAUUUUAAUGUUUAUUUAUCUGUUUGAAAGAGAGAGAGAAAGAGUGCACAUGGGAGGGAGUGAGGGACAGAAGAUCUGAAGUGGGCUCUGUGCUGACAGCAGAGGGCCUGAUGUGGGGCUUGAACUCAACAAACAGAAUAUGGUAUCUGUUUGUAAUGAGAAAUGGUAAAAGAUGGAGGAGGGGAUUUAUGUAUGUAUGUAUGUAUGUAUGUAUGUAUCUAUUUAUUUAAAAUGUUUACUUAUUUUGAGAGAGACAGGGAGCAUCAGCAGGGGAGGGGGCAGAAAGAGAUAGAGAGAGAGAAUCCCAAGCAGGCUCUGCGCUCAGCACAGAGCCUGACUCGGGGCUUGAUGCGGGGUUGGGGAGCUCACUAACUAUGAGAUCGUGACCUGAGCUGAGAUCAAGAGUCAGUGCUUAGCCAUAUGAGACACCCAGGUGCCCCAGAUGGAGGGGUUUCAAAGGAGGAAUAGUCCCUAAUUCUCAUAAUAGAUCCUGAAAAAAUUGCAUCCUGGAAGACUGUGUCACCACUUUCAGAUAGGGGUGGAAGAAAAGAAGAAACAAAGUGGAAGAACGGAAGACGGAAAGACGAGUAGAGAGAAAAGAUGCCCGUGGAAAACGAGUGACCGUCAUCAGGCAUGCCCGCUGCCUGGGGGUUUGUGACGUCGGUUAGGGAUCGAAGAUCACAGUCACGGCGCAGCUUGACUCCACUACAAGAUCUGCACAAACAACCCUCUGCCUCAUCCCGACGCAUGUUGUGUUUUCUGGACUCCUACCCAAGUUGAAUUUUGGGGUCACUUAGAUGCAAAAUCAUUGUCCCAGAAGGACCACUAUUACAAAGAGUUUCAGAGCCAGAAUGUACCUCCGAGGGCCUCGGCCUGCAUGCUUUCACUUUACAGCUGAUGAAAGGUCCUGUGGUAACAGAUGAUACAAUGCUUCCGAGAAGUCACGGGUUAGGUAGGCUCCGGUCAGAUGGGAUGAGGACACAGCCACAAUGUGUGGCAAUGAUUCUGUGGGAGGAUGCUUUUACGGUUCUAAGCAACAAGAGUGCAUGAAAGGAUUUGGAAGAUAAUUUAUGAUUAGCUGGAUUUGCCCAUCAUGAGAUGCCUUUGACGAUCCUUUACGUGUUUUUCCACCAGAAAACAGCAUUGCCCGAUUGUGAUAGGCAUCUGAGAAUUCAACUUAUUAUUCAAGGAGAUUCUGAGUUUUUCAGGGCAGGGUAUGUGUUUUCUAAUCGCUUUGCAACCUUUGCUACGUUAGCUAUGUAAAAUGUGGGCCCUGAAUAUGCUGCGUGUCAAAGAGAAAGAAAUAACCUAAUUUUUUUUUUAAUUCAAGCGAAACCAUUAUAAUAGACAAGCAAAGCAGACAGACUGCUGGAGUCCAUGGGGGAGCGAAGUGUCAUGGCUAGGCAUACAUGGCUAGGCUGCAGGAGAAGUGCCUGUGGUGAUGGAGAUGUUCUGUCUGCACCAUCCAGUGGAAGCCAUGGGCCCCACGUCAAGUGAUAGCACUCGAAUUACGGUUAGGACAGUCGAGGAAUUGAAUUUGCGAUUUUAUUUGAUUGUGAUGAAGUUAACUUAAACUUAAAAUAUGAGUAUGUGUGAUCGGUGGCUACCGGAAUGGGCAGUGUAGAACGAAGAGGGGGAUGAUGGAAUGCGGAUACUGUGGCACAUGGCCAGGGUUCGCUUCCCAAACUUGCCUUUCCUACUGUCUGAACUGCUUAGUUCCAGUGUCCCCAUCCGUAAGAGCCAUCAUAAAGAUCAUGAGUCAAUAUACGAAGUCAAUACAUGGAAUGAGUCAAUGCAUAGCAACGAAUCAUUCCAUGGAAAGUACUUAGAACAGCGCCUGGAAACAAAUAUAUGUGUGUGUUCCUGUUUUACUACUUUUGUAAGGCGGCUAUGAGAUCUGUUUUAACUAACUAGAUCAUUAAAUAAUUGUUUGGCCUGAUUCUUGCCCUCUUUUGACUUUCUGGGUCUCUGUAGUUCUGUUAGUUAAGCUGUGGGGUUAGUCAGGGCAAUCGCUGGCUCCGAGAAUUGAUGUUCCUGUAUUUGGCAGCUUGUAUAGACAAUUCGUAGGAAGAAGCCUGGUUUUUGGUCCUGCAAUAGACUUCUCUGUGGGUUAUGUUGUCUUCUAUCCUCAGUUUCUGCAUCUGACAGAUGAGGUAGCUUGGCCUCAUUUCUCAGAUCUACACAUUUUAGUGCCACAUGGGUGAUAUGGAAUAAUGUUUAAAGAAAUGAUUGCAUUUCAAGUGUUUGGAACACAUUUCCUAUGAACUAUCAUAGUCACAACAUGGCAACAGGAUUUACUGAGUGGUUUUUCUAGGCACUGGGCCAAGUGGUUUAUAGGCAUUAUUCCAGUUGAUAUUCAGUACGACCCCAUUAGGAAGGUAUUGUCACUGUUCUUUUAAUGGGACAGGACAGAGGGUGCAGGCUCCGGGUCACUUAGCCAGUGAGCAGCAGAGGCAAGCUUUGUUCUCUUUGACUCUGUAGCUUGUAAUCUGAAGCUUGUAGAAAGGCCUCCUCUUACCGUUUGAGAGCAUACUCGUUAACGCUUUGUGUAGUUUGCCCAUAGGCAUGCAAAAACUCAGUACCUGAGGAAUCAUUCUUAAGCUUGGAAAAAUCUUGGAAGUGGGAAGCCAGGUGGCUUUUGUGAAAUGAAGAGAUGGCAAAUUUUGGUCAUUGAUGCCCCUUCGGAUGAUGAAACUUCAGUCACUUGGAAUUUGCUCUGGACAGUUUUUUCUCAAGAAAGUCUCUCCCUGGAGGGUUUCUUAUGCUCUUCUGAACACAGAGACCCUUUCCUGUGAAAACAUACUCCUCGUUACCCUGGUUAACAAGUGAAGAAUUGUGUGGCCAUUUGACAGUGUUGCGUCAUGUUUCAAGACACACACCUCUAAAUGUCAAAAGGGGGGGGGUAUCUGUGGAUAAAUUCCUUGAGAUAACACCGGCGUAUUAUUUAGCUGUCUCUUGCCCAGAAAACUGUUUCCAAGGGAUCUGGGGCUUCUCACAAGCCACGGGCCUAUCUUUGUAGGCUUGUCUUCCUUCCUGCACUCUUGUUGGGUCAUCCCAUCGUCCUAGUCUUUCUCACUCAUUCAGUGGAUGAGUUCCGAGCACAUUGCCCACGUUCUCCCCUCCAACAAUCAUUUCUUCAUUCCUUCUGACAGGAGAGCCACGUUGGUAAGAUUGAGUGGCUUCAAACACCCAGCACUUAGCAUUGCUUUUUAAAACUAUAUAAUUGCCAAGCCCUAAUCUUGCACCAAAACGCUCCUGCCUUGUACAAGAGCCAGAGAGACUCUGAGGUCUCUUACUUGAGAUCUCUCAGAAAUUCAUGCUUGCACUGUGUCCCAUAAAUCUAAAGCACAACAACACAGCAAAAGGAGGAAUUUUCACCGCCCUCCCCGACCCUGCAAAUAAUUAGGACUUCAAGCCUAGAAGCCCUCCUAAUUGGAGUAAGUACCACUUUAUUCUUGCAUACCUCUUUUUCUUUUAGUUGUAUUCUGAACGAGUGGCUCUCAUUUUCCCAGCAAGAAAACUACCUCAACUUUGCUUCUUAGCUCUGGGCCUCUCUGCUUUAUUCUCUGACCUCAUUCUGCUGGAUUCAGUGAUUCAUUUUAUUUUGGUGCAAGACCUAAGUCAGCCCAAUAAAGACCGAUAGUUAUCACUUCCAGGAGUUUGAGUAAGUUGCCAGAGACUUAAGUAAAGAAGCUUGUAGUUCUAGAAACUACUGGACAUUGUCUUCGGAGCAAGAAACUAGGGGUCAGAGUUAUCCAAGAAGAGUAGAAUUGAGAUAAGGAAAGAAAUUGGGUCCUUGAUAACCCAGCCUUAUCUGAAGUUAAAUCUGGACUUUUUCAGUCAACUGGACCAAUAAUUCCUUUAUUAUUUAGGUGAGUUUGAGUUGCAUUUUCCUUGACUAAUAAUGGCAAGCACCUUAACUGAUGCAGAUGGUAUACUAUACAGGCUAGGAAGCAUGAUAGCUCCUGCGGUCACAAAGAUAAAUGAGACAUAUUUACUGUCAAAAUAUAGGCGUGCAUAAUUUUAGAAUCUUCUUUCCCCCAUUUAGUGUGUCUCUUCUUGCAAGGCAAUGGGCAGGAUUAUUUUUUAUGAUGUCAUUAAUUUUUUUAAAAUAUGUAUUUGAAUUGAGAUAUAGUUCAUAUGCCACAAUAUUCACCCUUUUAAGGUGAGCAAUUCAGUAGCUUAAGUAUAUUCACAAGGUUGUGCAGCCAUCACUGUCUAAUUUCAGAACCUUUUCAUCCCUUCUCUGCACCCCUCCCCACCAAAAGAAAACCCCAUAUCCAUUAGCAGUCACUCCCCAUUCUACCUUCAACUUUCUCUCUUCAGGGAUUUGCCUGUUCUGGACACUCCAUAGAAGUGGAAUCAUACAAUAUGUUGCCUUUUGUGACUUCUACUUUUACAUGACAUAAUAUUUUCUUUUUUUUGAUUUAACUUUAUUUUUUAUUUUUUAAAAUUUACAUCCAAAUUAGUUAGUAUAUAGUGAAGCAAUGAUUUCAGUAGAUUCCUUAAUGCCCCUUACCCAUUUAGCCCAUCCCCCCCUCCCACAACCCCUCCAGCAACCCUCAGUUUGUUCUCCAUAUUUAUGAGUCUCUUAUGUUUUGUCCCCCUCCCUGUUUUUAUAUUAUUUUUGUUUCCCUUCCCUUAUGUUCAUCUGUUUUGUCUCUUAAAGUCCUCAUCUGAGUGAAGUCAUAUGAUUUUUGUCUUUCUCUGACUGACUAAUUUCACUUAGCAUAAUACCCUCCAGUUCCAUCCACGUAGUUGCAAAUGGCAAGAUUUCAUUCUUUUGAUUGCUGAGUAAUACUCCAUUGUAUAUAUAUAUAUACCACAUUUUCUUUACCCAUUCAUCCAUCGAUGGACAUUUGGGCUCUUUCCAUACUUUGGCUAUUGUCAACAUGGCAUAAUAUUUUCAAGGUUCAUCGUGUUACUGCAUGUAUCAGACCUUCAUUCCUUUUUAUGGCUGAAUGAUAUUCCAUUGCAUAGAUAUACAAUACUUUGCUGAUUCAUCAGGUGAUGGACAUUUGAGUUAUUUCCAUUUUUUGUCUAUUAUGAAUAAUGUUGCUAUGAACAUUCAUGUACAAAUUUUUGUGUGGAUAUAUAUUUUCAUUUCUCUAUGCCUAUGAGUGGAUAGGUGGUCAUAUGGAUAGUGGAUGGGUCAUAUGGUAACUUUAUGUUUAACUUUUUGAAUAACUACUAAACUGUCUUCCAACACAGUUACACUGAACAAGAAAAUAAGACUUCUGUUCUCAAGGAGUUUAUAGGUACUGAUGUUAUAAUAGAUAGCAACUUUGGAAAAAACUAGACCAGAAAGAAAUCUUAUAGCAUCUUAUAUACAAUUGUCUUUUUUUUUAAUUAAAAAUUUUUAAAAAAUGUUUAUUUAUUUUUGAGAGAGACAGAGCAUGAGCAGGGGAGGUGCAGAGAAAGAGGGAGACACAGAAUCUUAAGCAGGCUCCAGGCUCCGAGCUGUCAGCACAGAGCCCGAUGCGGGGCCCGAACUCACGGACCGCGAGAUCAUGACUUGAGCUCAAGUCAGAUGCUCAACUGACUGAGCCACCCAGGCACCCCUACAGUAGUCUUUAACACAAUAAAAACGUCAUCUGAAAUUCUUACUACAGAACAGAGAUUUGGUCCCCUAGCUGCCCUACAUGAAUAGUGAUGUGUAGUCUAUUUUUUCCAUUAUGACACUAAAAGCCUUUCAACUGGGUGUUUCAAUUCCAUCACAACUAAGAAGUUAGACAUUUAUAGAUCCUGCUAAGCAUCUAAUUGAGAAUUUAUUAUUACAGCAGAACACCAAGGAGCUGUUAAGUCAAUAAAAUUCUUUAAAAUUCUUUAAGAAUUUUCAGAGAAUUGGAAACAAAUAUUGGCAACCUUAUUUGGAUUAUAGGGAUGAGAAAAUAUAUAUAAUUAUCCAUAAGUGGAUAAGAUGCAUAAGAUGCAUAAGAUGACAAUCACUGCUCAAGAAGAAUACGGAACAAGAAGGUACAGAAAGCAUAUUUAGUACAAAGCACAUUUGCUUUUUAAAAAUUAUUUUAUUGCAGUUGCUAAAGUAUGUGAGCUUAUCUGUGGUGCUGUAUAAACAGUACUAAGGGCAAGGCAGACAUUGGACUCCCAACAAACCAAACCCGGCUGACCUUUAUCUUCAAUGCCUCAUUUCAUGAUAGCUGUGACUUUCCCAAAAGGUAUUUGAAAUCAUCUUAUGACAAUUAAUUUGUGACAAUUAGAAAAGGCUUGAGGACAGUGCCAAGGAAAAGUCUGCAUAUCGUGGUGGUGGAGGGGAAUCAUAGAUUUUAAGGGUGGAAGGGACGUUCAAGUGUUUCCAAUGUACCUUGCCUUCCUUCUCCCGCCGCUCGCCUGUCCCCCUCCCCCACACCCCCACCCAGGUUGCCCGAAUGACAAUGACAAACCUGCUAAAACAUUAGCAAUCUCUGGUUACACAUACCUGUUCUAGCAGUGUGAAGAUAUUAACUGCAACCCCAUCUCUAAACGUAAAACAUUGGAGUAACCAAAACAUCUAACACAGCAAUAAGUCACUAUUGUACAAAUGGAAAUUAGAUCUGUGGACAUUUGUGGAAGUGUUUCUUGUGAUUUUAAAUUCAAAAAAGCGGAAUAUAAACUUGCAUUUAGAUUAUACUUAAAACUGUGCCCAGGAAGACGGAAAGAUACGCAGAAUAGAAACAGUUGUUUUGCUUGGGUUAUGAGGGUAAUUUUUCUUUUCCUUUAAACGUUUAUACAUUUUCUAUAAUUUCGCUUAUUCAGUGUUCCCAUAUCAAACUAAUAAACAUAAAAAUAUGGCUUUCCUUUUUUUUCCUUUUUGUGCUUGAAAACAGAUAGAAGUAAAGGGGGCUAAUGUUUAGCUGUGGAGAUAGAAAUCUGCAAUGGCAUUCUCCAGGAGUCAGAGGCAAUGAUCAAAAAAUAUAUAUACAUAAAGUUUUAAGUUCAUUUGGUGAAGCCGGGAAAUACUGCAUACUUCCCAUCCUUUUAAAAACCAUUGUAGCUCUUUGUUGAAUUUAUGUUUGCAAUUUAAUAGGAGCCAGGGGAUCAUUAAAAAAGAACAGUUUUAAGAGAAACCACAACACAAGGGAAAAAUGUUAGCCAAUUCUUAGGACAAACCUAAUUACAUUUUUACUCAUAUCCUGAAAAAAAAAAAUCUCCUGUCUUACACCGCAUCGUAUAGCUGAUUGGCAGAAAGAGUUUCCCUUCGGCUUAUUUUAAUAUGUCUUUAUUACUUGGAUUUCUGCAGUUUAGUGUUUAGAUGCAGGGACACAUGAUCUUUCAUUGUUGUGUCUUCUAUUGUCUGGAGACCCAUAAAACCAGAGGGUUGACAGGUUCAGCAUUUUGUUCUUAUUAUCUGCCCAAGCCAUUCGAUAGUGUGAUUGGUGCUGGUGCACUACAGACGUUCAUAAAGGAUAAUGUCUUUAUCUUAGGAUGCAGAUUUUCAAAUAAGAAGAAUCUAAGUUUUUUGGAUAAAAAAGGUCAACCACGGCAAACUCAAUUUGAAAUAAGCUGCAAAACAAUAUCGCUGUCAAUGUGGAGUGACUAGAUUGGACAUCUUUAAUUUCAGCCUCUUUGACAAUUUAUGAAAAUUAACGUUAAAGUUUUUAAAACCAGAUGGAGAUUAGCCAUUCGUGUAGUAAGCAAAAAUAAACAUAUUCUGUUGGUAUUCAGAGAACAAAAGAUACAUUCUAAUUUAGAGGAAGAAUAUUGUUUUCCCCUUUUAAUAUAUCUGAAGUUCAUAUGAUCUGGUAUUUCUUUUUUUUUUUUUUUUAAUUUUUAACGUUUAUUUAUUUUUGAGAGACAGAGAUAGAACACGAGUUGUGAGGGCGGUGGUGGGGGGGGGGGGUGGUUGCACAGAGCAGAGAGAGAAGGAGACACAGAAUCCGAAGCAGGCUCCAGGCUCCGAGCUGUCAGCACAGAGCCCAAUGUGGGACUCGAAAUCACGAACCGUGAGAUCAUGACCUGAGCCAAAGUUGGAUGCCUAACCGACUGAGCCACCCAGGAACCCCCAUCUGGUAUUUCUUAAAUAGUAAAAACAUACUGUCUUUUUAGGGGCUGACAUCAAAUAAAGGGCAAGUCAAAUAUUUUUUGGUUUUACUGUAAAUGGGUUGUAUCAGACCGACUAUAAUUUCUUACUUUUCCCCCUUAGAAUAAUUCAGCACAAUUGUAUUGAAGCCCUUGUGGCUUUCUGAUAAUUAGA